rnacentral:rRNA from 1 species
GACAGAGGGUGCAAACGUUGCUCGGAAUCACUGGGCGUAAAGGGCGUGUAGGCGGGAGGGAAAGUCAGAUGUGAAAUCCCCAGGCUCAACCUGGGAACUGCAUUUGAAACUCCCCUUCUUGAGUAUCGGAGAGGAAAGCGGAAUUCCUGGUGUAGAGGUGAAAUUCGUAGAUAUCAGGAGGAACACCUGUGGCGAAAGCGGCGCACUGGACCACAACUGACGCUGAGGCGCGAAAGCUAGGGGAGCAAACAGG